UUGGAGGGCAAGUCUGGUGCCAGCAGCCGCGGUAAUUCCAGCUCCAAUAGCGUAUAUUAAAGUUGUUGCAGUUAAAAAGCUCGUAGUUGAAUUUCGGGAUCAAUUUAUCGGUCGUGCCAAUGGUAUGAACUGGUACAAUUGGUUUCUCCCUUCUGACGAAGCAUGAUGUCAUUAAUUUGGUGUCGUGGGGAAUCAGGACUGUUACUUUGAAAAAAUUAGAGUGUUUAAAGCAAGCAUUAGCUUGAAUACAUUAGCAUGGAAUAAUGAAAUAGGACGUUUGAUCCUAUUUCGUUGGUUUCUAGGAUCGACGUAAUGAUUAAUAGGGAUAGUUGGGGGCAUUAGUAUUCAAUUGUCAGAGGUGAAAUUCUUGGAUUUAUUGAAGACUAACUACUGCGAAAGCAUUUGCCAAGGAUGUUUUCAUUAAUCAAGAACGAAAGUUAGGGGAUCGAAGACGAUCAGAUACCGUCGGAGUCUUAACCAUAAACUAUGCCGACUAGGGAUCGGAUGAUGUUAAUUUUUUAAUGACUCAUUCGGCGCCUUACGGGAAAC
rnacentral:rRNA from 1 species